UUAACGGCUUCCCUCCGGCACCUAGCGCCCUCGAGGAGCGCUAGAACACCUGGCCCGCAUGCUUUACAGCUAGGACUACCGGGGUAUCUAAUCCCGUUCGCUCCCCUAGCCUUCGCCCCUCACCGUCAGUACCGUUCUGGUCGGACGCCUUCGCCACUGGUGGUCCCCCCAGGAUUAGAGCAUUUCACCGCUACCCCAGGAGUACCUCCGACCUCUCCCGGCCUCAAGACCAACAGUAUCCCUUGCACGCCGAACCGUUGGGCGGCCCGAAUUUCACAAGGGACUUGCUAGCCCGGCUACGAGCGCUUUAGGCCCAAUAAUCGCGGCCACCACUUGGGCUGCUGGU
rnacentral:rRNA from 1 species